rnacentral:pre_miRNA from 1 species
GAAGUACUCCCUCCGUCCAAAAAUACUUGUCAUUAAAAUAGACAAAAAUGAAUGUAUCUAAAACUAAAAUACAUCUAAAUACAUCCCUUUUAUUCAUUUUGAUGACAAAUAUUUCCGGAUGGAGGAAGUACCAU